rfam:Medicago truncatula strain A17 chromosome 2, whole genome shotgun sequence.
CAGCACGAUGCCUCCCGGGCUUCUCUGAUAUAUCUAAUGACUCGAAAGCCCUAAGCACGUGCUAGAUCUUCGCCGUUCGUGUUGCAAUUCAGCCUAGUUUUCACGGCUAAUCUGUGUCAAAGUAAUGGCUAAAUCU